UUAUGUCUUUGUUCUGAGAAACUUAUAAAUGUGUAGUUUUGUGUUUUAACAUAUUGGUAUCUGAAUUCAAAGAAAAAAUAUAAAAUUUUUUAUGAAAAAAUUGAAUCUUCAAUCAUCGUUUACUGAAUCAAUAAUAGUAUGUUCAAUAUUAAUAUGGACUAUCUCAACUUAAAUUGAUAUUUGUUAUUGUCUACAACUACACUUCUACCAACGUCAAAUUUGGUGUAUUAUAUUAUUGUAGUCAAUCAGUCUAAACUAAUUCCAUCAAUACAUUGUCGAAUGUUGUGGUAUUCAAUUUUCAGUAAAUUUAUAGGUGUUUUAUUUUAAGUUACUGUGGCACACUAUUGCAGAUAACGGUUUUCCAUUAAGUCAGUAAGAAGAAUAAGAUGGAUUCACAAGUUCAAAUCAAAUAUUAGACAACUAUAUAUAUUUAUUUAUUCAGCUAAAAAUGUAAUUCAAUAAAAUAAUUUAAAAGUACUUUAUCAUUUUAAAAGUGACAUAAAGUUUUUAAACUCUAAGUAUU